AACGAACGCUGGCGGCAGGCUUAACACAUUCAAGUCGAGCGCCCCGCAAGGGGAGCGGCAGACGGGUGAGUAACGCGUGGGAAUCUACCCAUCUCUACGGAAUAACGCAUGGAAACGUGUGCUAAUACCGUAUACGUCCUUCGGGAGAAAGAUUUAUCGGAGAUGGAUGAGCCCGCGUUGGAUUAGCUAGUUGGUGGGGUAAAGGCCUACCAAGGCGACGAUCCAUAGCUGGUCUGAGAGGACGAUCAGCCACACUGGGACUGAGACACGGCCCAGACUCCUACGGGAGGCAGCAGUGGGGAAUAUUGGACAAUGGGCGCAAGCCUGAUCCAGCCAUGCCGCGUGAGUGAUGAAGGCCCUAGGGUUGUAAAGCUCUUUCACCGGUGAAGAUAAUGACGGUAACCGGAGAAGAAGCCCCGGCAAACUUCGUGCCAGCCGCCGCCGUAACAC
rnacentral:rRNA from 1 species